AGAAGCACCGGCUAACUCCGUGCCAGCAGCCGCGGUAAUACGGAGGGUGCAAGCGUUAAUCGGAAUUACUGGGCGUAAAGCGCACGCAGGCGGUUUGUUAAGUCAGAUGUGAAAUCCCCGGGCUCAACCUGGGAACUGCAUCUGAUACUGGCAAGCUUGAGUCUCGUAGAGGGGGGUAGAAUUCCAGGUGUAGCGGUGAAAUGCGUAGAGAUCUGGAGGAAUACCGGUGGCGAAGGCGGCCCCCUGGACGAAGACUGACGCUCAGGUGCGAAAGCGUGGGGAGCAAACAGGAUUAGAUACC
rnacentral:rRNA from 1 species